UGGGGAAUAUUGGACAAUGGGCGAAAGCCUGAUCCAGCCAUGCCGCGUGUGUGAAGAAGGUCUUCGGAUUGUAAACCACUUUAAGUUGGGAGGAAGGGCAGUAAGCGAAUACCUUGCUGUUUUGACGUUACCGACAGAAUAAGCACCGGCUAACUCUGUGCCAGCAGCCGCGGUAAUACAGAGGGUGCAAGCGUUAAUCGGAAUUACUGGGCGUAAAGCGCGCGUAGGUGGUUCGUUAAGUUGAAUGUGAAAGCCCCGGGCUCAACCUUGGAACUGCAUCCGAAACUGGCGAACUUGAGUAUGGCAGAGGGUGGUGGAAUUUACUGUGUAGCGGUGAAAUGCGUAGAUAUCUGAAGGAACACCAGUGGCGAAGGCGACCUCCUGGGCUCAUACUGACACUGAGGUGCGAAAGCGUGGGGAGCAAACAGG
rnacentral:rRNA from 1 species